rnacentral:rRNA from 1 species
GACUGUUUACCAAAAACAUAGCCCUAGGCAUUUUCUAAGGUGUGGCCUGCCCAGUGACCUUCAUCCUCAAUAUAAACAUAUUGGAAAGAAAGUUAAAAGGAAGCGGUAACCUUGACUGUAGUAAUGUAGCAUAAUCAAUCGUCAUUUAAUUGGUGAAUAGUAUGAAUGGCUAAACGAGUUUUCCACUGUCUUAAAAGUACCCCUAUUAAAUUAAGUUAAUAGUCAAGACGCUAUUUUAAAUUGUAAGACGAAAAGUCCCUAUAGAGCUUGACUAUACCCCCCCCUUUUAAUUAUAACGGGGGGGUUGGUAGUUUAGUUGGGGUGACUGCCUUUUAAAACCAACAAAGGCAAGCAAAGUCAAUAAAGAACUUAUUGUUUAAUCUAUAAAUUUAACAAUUACUAAAGUAGGCUAUAAUGACCCGUCUUUUUCCCGCAAGUGAAGACGAUUAUUAGAUAAAAGCUACCUUAGGGAUAACAGGAUAAUUUUAACUUAGAGUUCUUAUCGAAGUUAAAGUUUGUCACCUCUAUGUUGAAUUAAGAUAUCCUAAUGAUGCAGAAGUCAUUGAUGGUGGGUCUGUUCGACCUUUAAAAUCUUACAUGAUUUGA